AUGGACUGGACCUGGAGGAUACUGUUCUUGAUGGCAGCAGCUACAGGUGCCCACUCCCAUGUCCAAUUGGUGCAGUCUGGGGAUGAGGUGAGGAAGCCUGGGGCCUCAGUGAAGGUCUCCUGCAAGGCUUCUGGAUACACCUUCACCAACCACAACAUGGACUGGGUGCGACAGGCCCCUGGACAAGGGUUUGAGUGGAUGGGAGGGAUCAACACUAACACUGGUGGUACAAGCUAUGCACAGACUUUCCAGGGCAGAGUCAUCAUGACGAGGGACACGUCCACAAACACAGCCUUCAUGGAGCUGAGCAGCCUGAGAUCUGAGGACAUGACUGUGUAUUACUGUGCAAGAGACACAGUGUGA